AAUCAACGCUGGCGGCGUGCCUCAGACAUGCAAGUCGAACGAUUAAAGCUCCCUUCGGGGAGUGCAUAGAGUGGCGCACGGGUGAGUAACACGUAAGUAAUCUACCUUCGAGUGGGGAAUAACGUCCGGAAACGGACGCUAAUACCGCAUAAUGCAGCGGCAUCGCAAGAUGACAGUUGUUAAAGAUUUAUCGCUUGAAGAGGAGCUUGCGGCAGAUUAGCUAGUUGGUAAGGUACUGGCUUACCAAGGCUACGAUCUGUAACCGGUCUAAGAGGACGGUCGGUCACACUGACACUGAACAACGGGUCAGACUCCUACGGGAGGCAGCAGUCGGGAAUUUUGGGCAAUGGGCGAAAGCCUGACCCAGCAACGCCGCGUGAAGGAUGAAGUAUUUCGGUAUGUAAACUUCGAAAGAAUGGGAAGAAUCAAUGACGGUACCAUUUAUAAGGUCCGGCUAACUACGUGCCAGCAGCCGCCGUAAAAC
rnacentral:rRNA from 1 species